rnacentral:rRNA from 1 species
GACGAACGCUGGCGGCGUGCUUAACACAUGCAAGUGGAGCGACGAACCAGGGCUUGCCCUGGGGCAGAGCCGCGAACGGGUGAGUAACACGUGGGUAACGUGCCCCGAUGACCGGGACAACCCGAGGAAACUCGGGCUAAUACCGGAUGUGGACCUCUCACAUCAGUGAGUUGUCUAAAGGUAGCUUCGGCUUCCGCAUUGGGAGCGGCCCGCGGCCCAUUAGCUUGUUGGUGAGGUAACGGCUUACAAGGCUUCGAUGGGUAGCUGGUCUGAGAGGACGAUCAGCCACACUGGGACUGAGACACGGCCCAGACUCCUACGGGAGGCAGCAGUGGGGAAUCUUGCGCAAUGCGCGAAAGCGUGACGCAGCAACGCCGCGUGGGGGAAGACGGCCUUCGGGUUGUAAACCCCUUUCAGGAGGGACGAAGGUCACACGGCUAAUAGCCGGCGUGACUGACGGUACCUCCAGAAGAAGCCCCGGCUAACUACGUGCCAGCCGCCGCAGUAA